rnacentral:rRNA from 1 species
GAGUUUGAUCGUGGCUCAGAUUGAACGCUGGCGGCAUGCCUUACACAUGCAAGUCGAACGGCAGCAUGAUCUAGCUUGCUAGAUUGAUGGCGAGUGGCGAACGGGUGAGUAAUACAUCGGAACGUGCCCUGUAGUGGGGGAUAACUAGUCGAAAGAUUAGCUAAUACCGCAUACGACCUGAGGGUGAAAGUGGGGGACCGCAAGGCCUCAUGCUAUAGGAGCGGCCGAUGUCUGAUUAGCUAGUUGGUGGGGUAAAGGCCCACCAAGGCGACGAUCAGUAGCUGGUCUGAGAGGACGAUCAGCCACACUGGGACUGAGACACGGCCCAGACUCCUACGGGAGGCAGCAGUGGGGAAUUUGGACAAUGGGCGAAAGCCUGAUCCAGCAAUGCCGCGUGUGUGAAGAAGGCCUCGGUU